rnacentral:rRNA from 1 species
UGGGGAAUAUUGGACAAUGGGCGCAAGCCUGAUCCAGCCAUGCCGCGUGAGUGACGAAGGCCUUAGGGUUGUAAAGCUCUUUCGGCGGGGAAGAUAAUGACGGUACCCGCAGAAGAAGCCCCGGCUAACUCUGUGCCAGCAGCCGCGGUAAUACAGAGGGGGCAAGCGUUGUUCGGAAUCACUGGGCGUAAAGCGCACGUAGGUGGAUAGUUAAGUUCGGGGUGAAAUCCCAGGGCUCAACCCUGGAACUGCCUCGGAUACUGGCUAUCUCGAGUCCGGAAGAGGUGAGUGGAAUUCCUAGUGUAGAGGUGAAAUUCGUAGAUAUUAGGAAGAACACCGGUGGCGAAGGCGGCUCACUGGUCCGGUACUGACACUGAGGUGCGAAAGCGUGGGGAGCAAACAGGAUUAGAUACCCCCGUAGUCCCUGAGCGGGCUGGCAAGGCGC